UUGAAGUGACUAUAAAAUGGAAAAUGAAUCAAGCAAAAUCUUUAAUCUCAAUAAUGAUGUCCAAAAUGAAGGCGUUCCUUAUGGCUAUCAUUCUCUUGGUGUUCACUCUUCUUACUUUCACAGCUCCAGCUUCAGCUCGAUCUCUAGCUAUCCACAAAAAAAGUAGCUAUCCAUUGCCAAAGCCAGCGCCGAGUCACAGGUGUUCUAGGGUUCGUGGUAAGCGUGUUUGCGUGGGAUAUUGAUAUGAAUAAGGUCAAGUUGCUUCCCGUUUAUCUUGUUCUUCAGGCUCCGAUUAUAUUAUAUAAAAGAUAGCUUUGAAUCGUGUGUAUUUGCACUUUGGAAAUUGGAAUUGGAAUUUGUUGUUUGAUGCAAGUGUUUAGAAACUAAAACAUUUUUGUUUGGAUAAGUAGAAGUCUUUAUUUAUGCGUACGUUUAAAUAGAAGUAAUAAAUUAUUUAUUGAAUUCAAUCCUUA